CCUACGGGAGGCUGCAGUGAGGAAUAUUGGUCAAUGGACGAGAGUCUGAACCAGCCAAGUAGCGUGAAGGAUGACUGCCCUCUGGGUUGUAAACUUCUUUUAUAAAGGAAUAAAACGAGGCACGUGUGCCUUUUUGCAUGUACUUUAUGAAUAAGGAUCGGCUAACUCCGUGCCAGCAGCCGCGGUAAUACGGAGGAUCCGAGCGUUAUCCGGAUUGAGUGGGUUUAAAGGGAGCGUAGAUGGGUUGUUAAGUCAGUUGUGAAAGUUUGCGGCUCAACCGUAAAAUUGCAAUUGAUACUGGCAGUCGUGAGUACAGUUGAGGUAGGCGGAAUUCGUGGUGUAGCGGUGAAAUGCUUAGAUAUCACGAAGAACCCCGAUUGCGAAGGCAGCUUACUAAACUGUGACUGACAUUGAUGCUCGAAAGUGUGGGUAUCAAACAGGAUUAGAUACCCUUGUAGUC
rnacentral:rRNA from 1 species